GUGCCAGCAGCCGCGGUAAAACGUAGGAUCCGAGCGUUAUCCGAAUUCACUGGGCGUAAAGCGCGUGUAGGCGGCUUUGUAAGUUGGAUGUAAAAUCUCCCGGCUCAACUGGGAGGGGACGUUCAAGACUGCAAGGCUCGAGGGCAGUAGAGGGAGGCGGAAUUCCCGGUGUAGUGGUGAAAUGCGUAGAUAUCGGGAGGAACACCAGAGGCGAAGGCGGCCUCCUGGACUGCAACUGACGCUCAGACGCGAAAGCUAGGGGAGCAAACGGGAUUAGAAACCCUUGUAGUCC
rnacentral:rRNA from 1 species